AGGACGAACGCUGGCGGCGUGCCUAACACAUGCAAGUCGAACGGAACGAAAAGAGCUUGCUCUUGGCGUUUAGUGGCGGACGGGUGAGUAACACGUGAGUAACCUGCCUUCAGAGGGGAAUAAUGUCUGGAAACGGACACUAAUACCGCAUAAAAUAUUUUAACCGCAUGAUUGAAAUAUCAAAGGAGCAAUCCGCUGAAAGAUGGACUCGCGUCUGAUUAGCCAGUUGGCGGGGUAACGGCCCACCAAAGCGACGAUCAGUAGCCGGACUGAGAGGUUGAACGGUCACAUUGGGACUGAGACACGGCCCAGACUCCUACGGGAGGCAGCAGUGGGGGAUAUUGCACAAUGGGCGCAAGCCUGAUGCAAGCAACGCCGCGUGCAGGAAGACGGCCUUCGGAUUGUAAACUGUUGUCCUCUGUAACGAUAAUGACGGUAGCAGAGGAGGAAGCCACGGCUAACUACGUGCCAGCCGCCGC
rnacentral:rRNA from 1 species